GGAAACCCCAGUGUCAGAAGGGGAAGGUGCUGCUAAUCGCUGGUUUCCAUGCGUGAGUUUGGGUUAAUUCCAGCAAUGCCAUCCAGGAAACAAAGUCAGCAGAAGCCUUUCCUAUUAAAACUGUCACAGCUUGAUAGGACUCAUUCGACAAAACUAAAAGGGAAACAGCCACCUCGAGCUUCUGUUCACUGUGAGGCAAGAGAUGGGGGGGAGGCAGGAGGGGGUUUUGCAAAUCUGAAAGCGAGAGGAGUUGCUAGUCCACCCGUGACAUGGAGCCAGCAGCAAAGAUCAUCACUGGCUUUCCUUCAGCAUGCUGACAGCCCAUGAGGCAGGCUUGUCUGAUGAAUGACUGUCUUCAGACGGGACCGAGAGUUUGAGAAGCUAAAUAGGAUGUCUGCUGGAAAAUGUACUCCACAAAAGCAGCCAUUUGUCUCCUGAACAAUCUGGUGUUUGCAGUGAAGUCCACUUUGUCCCGGAAGGCAGAGUAAAAGAGAAGAAAGGUUGAAUAAUGCACAAGAAGUAUCCUUUCACACAUGUAGGCAUAUGAUGGGGCUCAUGUUGUGUGCUUAAGAGAACAGCAAUGUAUAGUGAAGGCAUUUGGAAGGAAGUGGAUUGAGACAAAAAAUUAGCUUCAUUUUCAAAAAUAGGUCACGGACAGUGCAUCUUUACUGUAUCACAGAGAGAAAUUAGAAAGCAGCCUGAACCCCAAGGAGACCAAGACUGGAAUGUGUGACUCACAGGAACUCAAACACACACCCAAGAGGUAGAAAGCAAGCUCAAUACUCCAUCAUCCUCUCCAGGCAGGAAUGAGUCAGGCAAACUGACAUUUGAUGAUGCUCGUUCCAGGGACGGACUGGGAGAUGUGCAGUGGGCGCAGAGCAGGCAGCAUGCAAGCUCCACUGGUCUGCAGAGCAUCAGAUCCCAGCCCGGGGCUGCCUGCCAAGGGGAGCGGUGGGGAGGUGGCUGAGGGAAGAGAUCUGGCUGCUUCAACACACAUGGAGAUCUCAUUAGGAGGGCUGGGAUAAAAUCCUCAUCCAUACAUAGCUCUGUUUGCCCUGCUACCGUGCAAUUUGCUCCAUCCUGCAAAAAUAAAGACCAUUCUUGUGUUGUCCUCUUGCUUGAU
rnacentral:lncRNA from 1 species